UUUUGCUUUUUCGUACUCUCCCAUAUGACAGUAGACCAAACCCAGAUUUUUGUACGUUGUCGCUAUACUAACAUGGUCAGGUCCAAAUGCUUUCGUUUGAAUUUCUAUCGCUCGCUCAU